AAUUGAGGUAUGGCAGAGUGACAGCUU
rnacentral:sRNA from 1 species